rnacentral:rRNA from 1 species
GACGAACACUGGCGGCGUGCUUCACGUGCAGUCGACGAAGAGCGAUGAAGCUUGCUCUAUCAUCUUAGUGGCGAACGGGUGAGUAACGCGUAAUCAACCUGCCUCAGAGGGGGACACAGUUGGAAACGACUGCUAUACCGCAUACGAUCUAACCUCGGCAUCGAGGAUGGAUGAAAGGUGGCCUCUAUUUAUAAGCUAUCACUGAAGGAGGGGAUUGCGUCUGAUUAGCUAGUUGGAGGGGUAACGGCCCACCAAGGCGAUGAUCAGUAGCCGGUCUGAGAGGAUGAACGGCCACAUUGGGACUGAGACACGGCCCAGACUCCUACGGGAGGCAGCAGUGGGGAAUCUUCCGCAAUGGACGAAAGUCUGACGGAGCAACGCCGCGUGAGUGAUGACGGCCUUCGGGUUGUAAAGCUCUGUUAAUCGGACGAAAGGCCUUCUUGCGAAUAGUUAGAAGGAUUGACGGUACCGGAAUAGAAAGC